GCUGUCUGCAUGCAUGUGUUGUGACUGGAGCAUGCAUUCACGUGUGCAUCUCACAAACAUACUCUUUAAAAAAUGAAAUAAUUGAAAGCCACUUCACUUCCCAGCUCAGACCAAGGAUGGGAAAUUUCGGCUAGAAAGGGAUUUGAUAAAGUUAUUAACCAUGGAAAUUGGGCUGUUAGGCUGGAAACUGGAAUUCAUUCUGCUGCCUCGCCUGUUGCAAUACAGCAAGAACCAAAAGCGUGUGACCCUGACAAGGUUUGGAGUUUCAUGACACACAGAAGUAUUGGAAAGCUUGGAGAAGUUCGCAUGUGCAUGUGUGCACACACCCACACAUGCUCACCCCUCUCACAAAGCUGGCCUGGUUAAUGAAUUUCCAUCAAAAUGUUCCCAAACUGGUGGUUUUGCAGGGUUUGGAUGUGAAACCAGCUAAAAUACUAUGGUUCUAGCUGGGAUUUGCCUGGAGAUCUGAGGUUGAUGCUCAGGAUGGUGGGAAAGAAAUAGCCCUGGAGAAGCAAACUUCAGAAAGGGAGCCUCACCCCCCACGUCUGGCAGGGUUCUCAUUAUGCAUCGUAAUGAAUUAAUCUGAGGAACAGUGCUCUGGGAGUCUGGG